rnacentral:rRNA from 1 species
UACGUAGGGGGCAAGCGUUGUUCGGAAUUACUGGGCGUAAAGGGCGCGUAGGCGGCACGGCAAGUCGGGAGUGAAAGCCCGGGGCUCAACCCCGGAGGGUCUUCCGAAACUGCCGAGCUAGAGUGCGGAAGAGGCAACCGGAAUUCCCAGUGUAGCAGUGAAAUGCGUAGAUAUCGUGAGGAACACCAAAGGCGAAAGCAGGAUCCUGGUCAGCUUCUGACACUCAUGCACGAAGGCUAGGGGAGCAAACGGG